rnacentral:tRNA from 1 species
GGGACAGUAGCUCAGUGGUAGAGCAAUACGUUGAAGUUUAGGCAUUACCUCCAGGUCAAUCUAAACUUACUACAACAUGAGGUUGUAUGGGUCGCAGGUUCGAAUCCUGCCUGUUCCA